rnacentral:tRNA from 1 species
AGGAGUGGCAGAGUGGUCGAAUGCGGCGGUCUUGAAAACCGUUGUACCGCAAGGUACCGGGGGUUCGAAUCCCUCCUCCUC